rnacentral:rRNA from 1 species
UACGUAGGGGGCAAGCGUUGUCCGGAUUUAUUGGGCGUAAAGAGCGUGUAGGCGGCCAUACAGGUCAGCUGUGAAAACUCGAGGCUCAACCUCGAGACGUCGGUUGAAACCGUAUGGCUAGAGUCCGGAAGAGGAGAGUGGAAUUCCCGGUGUAGCGGUGAAAUGCGCAGAUAUCGGGAAGAACACCCGUGGCGAAGGCGGCACUCUGGGACGGUACUGACGCUGAGACGCGAAAAGCGUGGGGAGCAAACAGG